rnacentral:rRNA from 1 species
UACGUAGGUGGCGAGCGUUGUCCGGAUUUACUGGGCGUAAAGGGAGCGUAGGCGGACUUUUAAGUGAGAUGUGAAAUACUCGGGCUCAACUUGAGUGCUGCAUUUCAAACUGGAAGUCUAGAGUGCAGGAGAGGAGAAUGGAAUUCCUAGUGUAGCGGUGAAAUGCGUAGAGAUUAGGAAGAACACCAGUGGCGAAGGCGAUUCUCUGGACUGUAACUGACGCUGAGGCUCGAAAGUGUGGGGAGCAAACAGG